rfam:Solanum lycopersicum cultivar Heinz 1706 chromosome 4, whole genome shotgun sequence.
GUGUUCGUAGAGAGGAGAGACGGUUGUCGUCUCCCCCCACAGGGACGAGAACAGCCUUCAGGCGUUGACCGUUUACGACACAUCCAGCCAGACAACGCUUGUAUUAAGAUUAGUGUUAGACAUCUUGAAUAU